GGAGGGGUGGCGGAAUUGGUAGACGCGCUACUUUGAGGGGGUAGUGUCAAUUGUGACGUGUGAGUUCGAGUCUCAUCCUCUUCACGA
rnacentral:tRNA from 1 species